rnacentral:rRNA from 1 species
ACAGCAGCCGCCGCGGUAAUACGUAGGGUGCAAGCGUUAAUCGGAAUUACUGGGCGUAAAGCGUGCGCAGGCGGUUAUAUAAGACAGAUGUGAAAUCCCCGGGCUCAACCUGGGAACUGCAUUUGUGACUGUAUAGCUAGAGUACGGCAGAGGGGGAUGGAAUUCCGCGUGUAGCAGUGAAAUGUGUAGAUAUGCGGAGGAACACCGAUGGCGAAGGCAAUCCCCUGGGCCUGUACUGACGCUCAUGCACGAAAGCGUGGGGAGCAAACAGGAUUAGAGACCCGGGUAGUCCCUGUCUCUUAUAC